GGCAACGAAGGAGAACAGCGCAUGCGCGAGUCGCCUCCGGAAAUGACGUGUGGAAGGGGCGCCCGGGACGGAGCAAUGGCCCAGGAGACAGCUGGGUCGCUGUCGGAGGAAACGCUGUCACUGUGGAAACGGGAGCAAGCUCGGCUGAAGGCUCGCGUCGUAGACCGGGACACCGAGGCGUGGCAGCGGGACCCCGCCUUCUCGGGUCUGCGGAGGGUCGGGGGCGUUGACGUGUCCUUCGUGAAAGGGGACAGUGUCCGUGCUUGUGCCUCUCUGGUGGUGCUCAGCUACCCUGAGCUCGAGGUGGUGUAUGAGGAGAGCCGCAUGGUCAGCCUCACAGCCCCCUACGUGUCAGGCUUCCUGGCCUUCCGAGAGGUGCCCUUCCUGCUGGAGCUUGUGCGGCAGCUGCAAGAGAAGGAGCCGGACCUCAUGCCCCAGGUCCUUCUCGUGGAUGGAAAUGGGGUGCUCCACCACCGAGGCUUUGGGAUGGCCUGCCACCUUGGGGUCCUUACAGACCUGCCUUGCAUUGGGGUGGCCAAGAAACUUCUGCAGGUGGACGGGCUGGAGAACAACGCCCUGCACAAGGAGAAGAUCCGACUCCUGCGGGCUGGAGGGGACUCGUUCCCUCUGCUGGGAGGCUCUGGGACUGUCCUGGGAAUGGCCCUGAAGAGCCACAACCGCAGCACCAGGCCCCUGUACGUCUCUGUGGGCCACAAGAUGAGUCUGGAGGCAGCCGUGCGCCUGAUCUGCUGCUGCUGCAAGUCCCGCAUCCCAGAGCCGGUGCGCAAGGCUGACUUCUGCUCCCGAGAGCACAUCCGCAAGGCCCUGGGACACCCUGGACCCCCCGCACCAAGGAGCCUGAAGGCGCAGAGGCCAAAGGCAUGCCCCAGAGGAGACUCUGGAGAGUCCGCAGGUCAAGUUAGGAGGUGUGUCAGCACUGGAGGCAGGGGAGGCCUGGCCAGGUGAGCCCCUGGGACAGCCAUGCAUGGGGUCCAGACCCGUCUACCUGUCUGGUGGGCACUGAGGGUCCUCUUGGGAGAGUCCAGGGCAGCACCUGGUAAGCUGAGAGCCGCAGCGUGUCUGCAUGGAACCUGUUUCCUCACCGGGAACGUGAACACCUCUAGCAGGUUUGGGGAUUAAAGGUGGGGAUACGUGUGAAGUCUCUUGCCCAGCAGUGGAUCCCCAGUACACUCCUGAUAAAUGAGGCGUGGGGUGGUGGAGUCCAGCACUAGUCUGGACCCAGGAACGAGGCGUCAGUGGUUGGAGGGGAGGGUGUCUGCCCACCUAGCAUCUGUGGUAAGGAUCUACCUCCCAGCACCCCCGGGGAGUCCUGUCUGGAUGGGAGGGAGGACAGGGCCAUGGUGGGAGCCUCCAGAGCUGUCCCCCUAAAACCUCUGAAUGUCGCUGGCACAAGCAGGCCCAGGCAGGGCUCUCCCAGGGUAACACCAGCUGAGCACAGCCGUGGUCCUCAGGCAUGCUGCCCAGGUUGGGGGCAGGGAAUCCGAGGCCCUGCAUCAUCGCCUGUGAGUCCAGGGCUCAGGCAUAACUCUGGGGACCUGUCAUGCUGGCCCCAGGCCCACUGAAGCACAGGUGACACUGUCACAUGCUCCUGGGAAAAGUGGGGAUCCUCAGGCAGGGCGGGGACACAGCCAGUUCUGGCA